GCACACAGUAAAAGAGAUAAGAAGAAAUCUUUAUUGCUCCCCGUUACAGCCAGGGAUUAAGCUGAGAUGGAAUGUAAUGGAACCUGCUCCAUCCUGUCACCUUAAAGAGGGGGAGAAGAGAGGAAUACACAGUGGUGCUUGUCAGGAAGAAAGGCCAUCGUCUUUUUUUGGGAAUCCUAGAGCAGUCUUCAUGGUUCAACAAUGACAGCGCUGACACUAGGAGAGCUCAUUUCAAAUGAUCCUGAAGGAGAGAGAGAGAGAGAGAGAAGGAGAGAGAGCUAAAGAAAUGAGGAAGGAGGAGGCGGAGGGAAAGCAGAUCAGAAUAUAUGCAGUGGCCAAAAUGUGCUCCUGCAUUACUGCAACAGAACUGAAAUGCAAUGAGAGCCCGCUGCAGUCUCCCAGCAAGGACUUCCUACCUCUUCACAUCCUGAGGCUAGGCGUUCGCUCCAAGCCACCUGACCAGCGAGAAAGGACUGGGCCUGGGGGAAUGGGAGCCGGAGCAACAUAG
rnacentral:lncRNA from 1 species